rnacentral:piRNA from 1 species
UGAGUCUAGAGUUAGACUGGCCAAAUUCU